rnacentral:rRNA from 1 species
GAUGAACGCUGGCGGCGUGCCUAAUACAUGCAAGUCGAGCGAACAGACGAGGAGCUUGCUCCUCUGACGUUAGCGGCGGACGGGUGAGUAACACGUGGAUAACCUACCUAUCAGACUGGGAUAACUUCGGGAAACCGGCGCUAAUACCGGAUAAUAUAUUGAACCGCAUGGUUCAAUAGUGAAAGACGGUUUUGCUGUCCCUUAUAGAUGGAUCCGCGCCGCAUUAGCUAGUUGGUAAGGUAACGGCUUACCAAGGCAACGAUGCGUAGCCGACCUGAGAGGGUGAUCGGCCGCACUGGAACGGGGACACGGUCCAGACUCCUACGGGAGGCAGCAGUAGGGAAUCUGCCGCAGUGGGCGAAAGCCUGACGGAGUAACGCCGCGUGAGUGAUGAAGGUCUUCGGAUCGUAAAACUCUGUUAUUAGGGAAGAACAAAUGUGUAAGUAACUAUGCAUGUCUUGACGGUACCUAAUCAGAAAGCCACGGCUAACUACGUG